UACGUAGGGGGCAAGCGUUGUCCGGAUUUAUUGGGCGUAAAGAGCGUGUAGGCGGCUUUACAGGUCCGUUGUGAAAACUCGAGGCUCAACCUCGAGACGCCGGUGGAAACCGUAAAGCUAGAGUCCGGAAGAGGAGAGUGGAAAUUCCUGGUGGUAGCGGUGAAAUGCGCAGAUAUCAGGAAGAACACCCGUGGCGAAGGCGGCUCUCUGGGACGGUACUGACGCUGAGACGCGAAAGCGUGGGGAGCAAACAGG
rnacentral:rRNA from 1 species